UACGUAGGGGGCUAGCGUUGUCCGGAUUUAUUGGGCGUAAGGAGCGUGUAGGCGGCUAGAUAGGUCCGUUGUGAAAACUCGAGGCUCAACCUCGAGACGUCGAUGGAAACCAUCUGGCUAGAGUCCGGAAGAGGAGAGUGGAAUUCCUGGUGUAGCGGUGAAAUGCGCAGAUAUCAGGAAGAACACCCGUGGCGAAGGCGGCUCUCUGGUACGUGACUGACGCUGAGACGCGAAAGCGUGGGGAGCAAACAGG
rnacentral:rRNA from 1 species